UACGUAGGGUGCGAGCGUUGUCCGGAAUUACUGGGCGUAAAGAGCUCGUAGGUGGUUUGUCGCGUUGUUCGUGAAAACUCACAGCUUAACUGUGGGCGUGCGGGCGAUACGGGCAGACUGGAGUACUGCAGGGGAGACUGGAAUUCCUGGUGUAGCGGUGGAAUGCGCAGAUAUCAGGAGGAACACCGGUGGCGAAGGCGGGUCUCUGGGCAGUAACUGACGCUGAGGAGCGAAAGCGUGGGGAGCGAACAGGAUUAGAUACCCUGGUAGUCCACGCCGUAAACGGUGGGUACUAGGUGUGGGUUUCCUUCCUUGGGAUCCGUGCCGUAGCUAACGCAUUAAGUACCCCGCCUGGGGAGUACGGCCGCAAGGCUAAA
rnacentral:rRNA from 1 species